UACGGGGGGGGGCAAGCGUUGUUCGGAAUUACUGGGCGUAAAGGGCUCGUAGGUGGCCAACUAAGUCGAGCACGUGAAAUCCCUCGGCUUAACCGGGGAACUGCGUCUGAUACUGGAUGGCUUGAGUUCGGGAGAGGGAUGCGGAAUUCCAGGUGUAGCGGUGAAAUGCGUAGAUAUCUGGAGGAACACCGGUGGCGAAGGCGGCAUCCUGGACCAGACUA
rnacentral:rRNA from 1 species